GUUCGUAUUAUGGCCGAAUCUUUACUAACUCUCUUCAUGGCUAACCUCCUACAACUAAUCGUGUUUAUCUUUUCUUGGACCAGCAAUCAGGAUUUAUCCCACACCAACGCAACCCAUGAAGGAUUCAUUGCGGAAAACAGCUUCAUCGACUUGUCAACUCAGUCUCCAUUAGCUGUCGUCAGCAAUCUAUCAUCAGCAUUCGACUGCCUUUCGCCAAAUGAAAGGUUUUACAUAAUUGAUGAUCAGUUAUCGUGUUUCCAGCUGAUGACGCAAGGACCCUGCAAACCUAAUCAGCUAUUUUAUCUGGACUCGGACGACAGCGGCAUCUGUGAUUGCGAAAACAGUCUGUUCAUCUAUUCCGCUGAAACCGGCGAAUGCUAUCAGCAAAACUCCCAGGGACCGUGUAAAGAUGGAGAAUGGUUUACGUUAACCGACGGAAUACUGUCGUGCGAACCGCUUCCAGACGGAUGCCUGGCCGACGGCCACUACGUAUUUUGGAGCCCCGAUUAUGAAGGAUCGAGUGAAGCAAGUGAAAAACAAUGUUGGCUGUUGGGGAGCCAAGGCCCUUGUUCCGAAAAUGAAACGCUAGAGCGUUACGCCACAAAUACCGUCGGAUGUCAAUUAAGAGCAUUUAAGAUUGGUAGAAGACCUCAUCACGGGGGCAACGAAAUUGAUGAACGGAAUCCGGAAGAUAAGGAAGCCGAAAGUAGAUCCCCAUCUGGUAGAUCCGUCGCUGUAGCCGGAAUGCGUCCUUGUGGUCCCGGUAGCCGCCGAACGCAGACAGGAAAGUGCCGGCCGAAUAUCGGUUAAGUCACUUUUUUUUUAAAUAAUUGUAUUUUGUUCUUCUUUGAUGAGAUCCGUCCGAUACAAUUAAUUCAGAUCAGCAUUCCAUGGAUAACCAACCCCUUUUUAAUAUAGUCAAAGAAGUCAGAAAAACAUAAUAUCGUUUAAUGCAUUUAGUCUAAAUUUUUCGCUUGUUUCUUCAUGUAAAAUAUUUGACACGAUACACAAAAAUACUUUAAAAAAUGCUAUACAUUACAUAUUCAAUUCA